rnacentral:rRNA from 1 species
UGGUGGAGUGAUUUGUCUGGUUAAUUCCGAUAACGAACGAGACCUUAACCUGCUAAAUAGCCAGGCCGGCUUCUGCUGGUCGCCGGCUUCUUAGAGGGACUGUCAGUGUCUAACUGACGGAAGUUUGAGGCAAUAACA